AAAGUUUAAAUCUCAAACUUGCACUUAUUUACCAUUUAGACCACACAUGCAAGUAUCCACAACCCAGUGAGAAUGCCUCUCCUAUUACAAAUAUUACAGAGCGGGUAUCAGGCUCAACAAUGUUAGCCCAUCACACCUUGCUAAGCCACAUCCCCACGGAUAUUACAGCAGUGACUAACAUUAGGCAAUAAGCACUUACAAGCUUGACCUAGCUAAAAUCCCAUUGGUCGGCAAAUCUCGUGCCAGCAGCCGCGGUUACACGGGAGACCAAAGAUAAGAUAUAACGGCGUAAAGAGUGAUACAAGAGCCAAGCCCCCUGACAGGAUCUACCCCAAAUUUACCUCAGAGAUGAAAUCCUAAGGUACUAAGAAACCCUAAUCAUCCUUCAUUAGGCCCUCUAAAUCACGAAAAUUGGGAUACAAACUAGGAUUAGAUACCCUAUUAUGCCCAAUCGUAAACCAAAAUGGCAAAAACAAACCAUUCGCCCGAGAAUUACUAGCACAAACUAAAAACUCAAAAGACUUGACGGUGCUCUACCCUACCUAGAGGAGCCUGUCCUAUAAUCGAUACUCCACGAUCCACCCGACCUUUACUAGAACAUCAGCCUAUAUACCGCCGUCGAAAGAAUAUCCUGCAAAGGCCCAAUAAUUGACCAAAUAGUCCUCUCUAAAACGUCAGGCCAAGGCAUAGCUUAUGUAAAGGCAGAGAUGGGCUACAUUUUUUAAUUUAAAAAAUACGAAAAAUAAUGUGAAACCCAUUAUCCAAAGGCGGAUUUAGCAGUAAAAUGGGCAAGAAUACCCAUCUUAACACAGCACCAGAGCACGUACACACCGCCCGUCACCCUCAUUAACAUUAUUCAUCACUCAAUAUAUUAAAUUUACAUCACACAGAUGAGGAAAGUCGUAACAUGGUAAGUGUACUGGAAAGUGCACUUGGAAAAC
rnacentral:ncRNA from 1 species